ACUAUUCCGAAGAUUCUCGUCCCUUUUCCUCGUUUCGAUGAAAUAUGCCAAGUCUGCCAGUGCUUGAUCUACGCUUAGAUAUUGCAAGUUUCUUGAACUAGUGUCUCUAAAGGAUUCGAAAGAUCUCGUUCGAUGACGUUUGAUCGGCGGCGAAUCCUCAUGAUCGAUAGAUCUAUUUCUAUCGAGUUGUUCGUAUCGUUUGUCGCGAGUG